UACGUAGGGUGCAAGCGUUAAUCGGAAUUACUGGGCGUAAAGCGUGCGCAGGCGGUUGUGCAAGACAGAUGUGAAAUCCCCGGGCUUAACCUGGGAACUGCAUUUGUGACUGCCCGGCUAGAGUGUGUCAGAGGGGGGUAGAAUUCCACGUGUAGCAGUGAAAUGCGUAGAGAUGCGGAGGAACACCGAUGGCGAAGGCAGCCCCCUGGGUUAACACUGACGCUCAGGCACGAAAGCGUGGGGAGCAAACAGG
rnacentral:rRNA from 1 species